rnacentral:rRNA from 1 species
UACAGAGGGUGCGAGCGUUGUUCGGAAUUACUGGGCGUAAAGAGCGUGUAGGCGGCCCGGUAAGUCCGCUGUGAAAGUCGGGGGCUCAACCCUCGAAUGCCGGUGGAUACUGUCGGGCUAGAGUGCGGAAGAGGCGAGUGGAAUUCCUGGUGUAGCGGUGAAAUGCGCAGAUAUCAGGAGGAACACCAAUUGCGAAGGCAGCUCGCUGGGACGUUACUGACGCUGAGACGCGAAAGCGUGGGGAGCAAACAGG